rnacentral:rRNA from 1 species
AUUGAACGCUGGCGGCAUGCCUAACACAUGCAAGUCGAACGAGUGGCGGACGGGUGAGUAAUGUCUGGUAAACUGCACGAGGGAGGGGGAUCACGAAUGGAUACGGUAUCUAGUACCGCCUACCAUCGGCUGAGCCCAUAUGGGAUUAGCUAGUAGGUGGGGUAACGGCUCACCUAGGCGACGUUCCCUAGCUGGUCUGAGAGGAUGACCAGCCACACUGGAACUGAGACACGGUCCGGACUCCUACGGGAGGCAGCAGUGGGGAAUAUUGGACAAUGGGGGAAAGCCUGAUGCAGCCAUCCCGCGUGUAUGAAGAAGGCCUUCGGGUUGUAAAGUACUUUUAGCGAGGAGGCGUUACCUGCAGAAUAAGCAUCGGCUAACUACGUGCCAGCAGCCGCGGUAAUUC